rnacentral:rRNA from 1 species
GAUGAACGCUGGCGGCGUGCCUAAUACAUGCAAGUCGAGCGAACAGACGAGGAGCUUGCUCCUCUGACGUUAGCGGCGGACGGGUGAGUAACACGUGGAUAACCUCCCUAUAUGACUGGGAUAACUUCGGGACACCGGCGCUAAUCGCGGAUAAUAUAUUGAACCGCGUGGUUCAAUAGUGAAAGACGGUGUUGCUGUCACUUAUAGAUGGUUCCGCGCCGCAUUAGCUAGUUGGUAAGGUACAGGCUUAUCAAGGCAACGAUGCGUAGCCGACCUGGUAGGGGGGUCGGCCACACGGGAACGGAGACACGGUCCAGAGUCCUACGGGAGGCACCAGUAGGGAAUCUUCCGCAAUGGGCGAAAGCAUGACGGAGCAACGCCGCGUGAGUGAUGAAGGUCUUCGGUGCGUAAAACUCGGUUAUUAGGGAAGAACAAAUGUGUAAGGAACUAUGCACGGCUUGACGGUACCGAAUCAGAAAGCCACGGCUAACUACGUG